rnacentral:misc_RNA from 1 species
GCUACUACCGAUUGAAUGGUUUAGUGGGGACUCCUGAUUGGCGCCGCCGCCCCGGCAACGGAGCAGCGGACUGCCGAAAAGUUGUUCAAACUUGAUCAUUUAGAGGAAGUAAAAGUCGUAACAAGGUUUCUGUAGGUGAACCUGCAGAAGGAUCAAGAUGGGAAGGGCGUCGGGUAGGGUAAGAGUGUAGAUCGUGGUGGUCGACGAAUAAUUAAAAAAAAAAUAAACAACACAACCAUGGAUAAAAGUAAGCAUCUAACAGCAACGCAGAAUA